CUCUGCCUCCGUCCAAACCCCACCUCCAGGCAGUAUCCUACUGACAGCUCCUGGUUCUCCUCUUGUCUCCUGCCCAGGCCUUUGCUGAUCUCCUCAAGCGGAAACAUCACAGGUUUAAGAGCCUUCACAGCCAAUUUUCAGUCCUAGCCUUACUUGACUCCCCCGGCCUCCAGAUCAGAAGAACCCCAAAGCAAGGACAGAGAUUGCUUCCUUCACUUCUCCCCUCCUUCCUCGUGACCGACUGAUGACAACGUUUGGAUGCACUACAUUCAGCAACCUAUCCCACUACCCAAAGCUCGGACAGUAUCUGGGCCUUAGCCAGUGCACCCAUCCCCCCCUCCGAAAAUCAGGCUGCUCAGACCCGCGGUACAAAGGUCGGCCGCCCAGGGCACCUCGGCCUGCCUACUCAAAAGCAAAGGGACGCUUUAAAGGCAGAAAACUGGAGCCGCGGACGCUUCUCCAGCCCAGAUUGCAGUUUCCCUGCAGAACCCUCCUUGGGUCUCCAGACCCAGGACUCACCAGCCCGGAUCGCUCAGCUGCAGGAAGGAAGUCACGUUGCACCGCGCUGAGAUGCUGUGCACCCGGCGAAGAGGCGCGGAGCCGGCGCGGCUCCCGGAUUGGGGACGGGGAGCGUGCGCGCGCGUCCGAGGCGGGCCCUGCGCGCUCCCGCGCCGCUGUGCCUGCUGCAACCACUCUCGCGAGAUUCCUACUCAGCUCCUAGGGCCAGUCCACUAGUGCUCGCGAGAAGAAAGACGCAGGCGUUGCCCCCGCCCCACCGCCCGCCCACCUCACCUUGCAGGAGCUGUCCAAGGUGCUAGAUCAUCUGCCACUUCUCGUUCAGGUUGUAGGUGGGCAUCUUGGGGGACAAGAGCAUAGUGAGUGCAUAAAAAGGAGAGACCCAGAGGCGGGAGCCUGAUACCAGCAAUCAAUGCCUCAGCUUCCAAAUCUGUAAAGUGGGGAGAAUCACCCUCCUUCCAAUCUCAGGAGCCUCUGGGAUGUACUUGGAAGGAGUAAGAAACAGCUUGAUGAAGGGCUGAAGAGAUGGUUCAGUGGUUUAAAUGUCCUUGUGCUUUUGUGAAGAAUUAGAGUUCUAUUCCAAGCACCUAUAGGGCGAUUCCAAAACCCCAGUUCCAGGGGAUCCAACAAGAAUGCACGUGGUGCACACACAUGGAUGCAAGUAAAACAUUCAUACACAUAAAAUGUAAUAAAUAUUUUUAAAAGAACCAGAUAGCUUGAUGAAAUAAGAAAUAGAGAUAGGUGGUGUAUACCUUUAAUCCCAGCACUUGAGAGCCAGAGACAGGCCGACCCCUGUGAGUUUGAGGGAAGCAUCAUCAACAUAGUGAGUUCCAGGAUGUUUGGAGCUACAUCGUAAGACCUUGUCUCAAAAGAAAAAGGGGGGGGGCAACAAGUAUAGAAAGUUACCUAAAGAAAUAGAAAGAAAGCAGGUGUGUUGAUUCCCACCUACAAUCCUAGCCUUUGCAAGACACAGGCAAUGCAAUCAAUGAAGUUUAGAGUCAGUUUUACCUACACAGCAAGUUGCAGGCUACCGGGAUACACAGUGAGAUACUGUCUCAAAAUAGAUAAAAUAAUAGGAAUAGAAAGAUAGGGAAUGGCUUUGAAGAAAGACUGAAAAAAAGAAAGAUGAUGGUAAUAUACAGAUGUGAACAGCAAGAAUGAGAAAAGACCAAGGUAAAUGCUUAGGAGAGCAGGACUUGUGUGGCUAGGAGACUACUUGGAGACGGGGAGCUGGGAGUAGGAAGACAGGCGGUUAUUGUGAGUGGUGUUUACAUAGUAAACCCCUGUGGGUCCUCCACAGCCAAGGCCAUUCCCCGUCAACCAAUUGCUUCUGCCCCUCACCCACACCACCCUGGGACUGGAAGAGGCGUCAGUGGGGUGGGUGGAGGGGACACACUGCAAGGAUUCUUUGCCCAGAAUAAGGGCCCAUUGUCUGGCUCUGGGCUGCCAGAGCCGGGGCCUCACUCCCACAGCUGGCAUGAAAGGGGAGGGAGAAAAAGAAGAGCAGACAAGAGCAAGUGCAGAAGAGACAGAUGGCUGAUGGGGACUGAGCAGGAAGAAUAUGAGGUCAACCAGAAGGCAGAGUCCUGGGCUACAACUGGUUUCUCUUUUAGUUCUGUCCUCAGUCCACCCACAUGGCCCCUUAUUCUGUAUAGCCCAAAGAAUGUUCUAUGAUAGCCACGCCCGUGUGUGUGUGUGUGUGUGUGUGUGUGUGUGUGUGUGUGUGUUGUGUCUGCAUUGCAUCAUAUACAUGCAGUAGCUGUAGAAGUCAGAAGAGGAUGUGGGAUCCCCUGGGACUGGAGAUGGUUGUGAUCUGACACUAGGGUGCUAGGAAUUUGACCCUGGACCUCUGGAAGAGCAGCCAGUGCUCUUAACCACAGAGCCAUCUCUCCAGUCCCUGUACUUUCAGUUCCAAAUGAGUGAGUAUAUUAAGCAGGUAGCAAGCAAAAGUAAAAGAAGAAAUGGCAAGCUUCAGAAGAUAGGGAGUAAAACAUCAUGAGAUCAGACGAUGACAAUAUCUAGCAGAGACCUAGGGGAAAAUGGCCAUGCUACAGCUUGCCGCACUGACAGUGUUUCCAUCAAAGAGCUUCUGACUUCCUGGUCACAUUGUAGGCAGAUUUGAACCACUGGACAAACAAUGGUAAGGUACAUGGGGAAGGCUUACCUUCCAGCUGUUCUCGGGAUCACAAUGUUUUAACUCUUGGACUGUUUUACUCUUCUCUCUCCCUGUCACAGAAGCAGGGGCCAGCCUGACCCAGAUGAGAGUCUUUGGAAGACACUUUAUAUAAUAAUGCUUGGGUCAGAAAUGCUGCAGGGGUGUCUACCUGCUUCCAGUUCCUCAAUAAAGUUUAACAGCACAUGACAGUGUAUCAGUAUGCUAUAUAUUACAUUGCUGCUGUUUAUCUCUGUAAUACAGCAAGUUUAUGCAGGUUUUCAAAGCCAUGGGGAAAACCAAUGAACUUGUGAUAAAAGGGAACCUGUAGAGAUGAUAAAACACUGCUCCCUCAGGAGAAAUACCUAGAAUCCACAUGGAAUUUGUAAGCAAUAACUUGUGGCUCAUGUGGGCCCUACAGAAAAAAUGUUGGUGUUCAAAUAUAAUAACUACACUAAUAAAUAUUUAUUAACUAUGCAAA